ACGAGACAGAAAAGAGGCCUACAGGAGCAACAACUAGUGGCAACGCAGAAAACAAGUGAGGAAGAUAGAAAAUGGACUCCUUUUGCUGGUUUGCAUGAAGACAUACUGAGCAUCUGGACAGGCUAGCUCCCAAAAAGGCAUUUUUGCAAACCACUUGAAAGCCACAUAAUUUUAUCCUUGUUUUGCUAAUCAGACAAAAUGCUUCCCAGGUCUCCCAUCUCUUCCUCUUCACUUCUAAACCACAGAAGUUGACUCCCAGCAUCCAAAAUUCAGAAAUGAACCUAACAUCAUCAUGAUCCAGUCUUAUUUUGCAUCAGGCCUCCAGCUGCAUCCACACUGCAGCAAAGGAUAUGAUUUCAUUCUUUUUUAUGGCUGCUCUGCCUUUUGUCUCUCCUAUCUCCCAUCCACAUGUUCAGCACUAACAUCCCAGAAGAACAGCUUGCAUUAAAAAGCUUCCUUGAUGAAAACUUUGAAACACUGUUCUGAAGACUCUCUGGAGCCUCUUUCUCAGCUCUAAAACUCUGGUGUUAU